rnacentral:rRNA from 1 species
GACGUAGGGCGCGAGCGUUGUCCGGAUUUAUUGGGCGUAAAGAGCUCGUAGGCGGCUUGUCGCGUCGUCCGUGAAAACUUGGGGCUCAACCCCAAGCUUGCGGUCGAUACGGGCAGGCUAGAGUUCGGUAGGGGAGACUGGAAUUCCUGGUGUAGCGGUGAAAUGCACAAAUAUCAGGAGGAACACCGGUGGCGAAGGCGGGUCUCUGGGCCGAUACUGACGCUGAGGAGCGAAAGCGUGGGGAGCGAACAGG